CCGAGACCAACCAGACCAAUCUCCUUCCAGCCGCUCUCCCCUACCAGCCAUUGCGGGCUUGCGGCGCGUGGGCUUGAACCUCGUGGCGCCAGCGCUGGCCGGCUGCUGCCGUCUCUCUCUAGUUUCCUGCCUCCGCCACCUACACCGGUCCCCGCAACCCCACCGUCCUCCCCUGGUCGGUCGCCACGGCGCCACGACCCCGACGACCUCUACUCGGCCACCUUCCCUCGCUUGACCCCGACGACCUCGACGUCCACUGCUCGCCCGCCUACCUUGGCUCGGCCCCGGCGACCUCGACGUCGCCGCACCUGUCCGCCCUUCCCCGCCGACCACACCACCUGGCCCUGCUCCGACGACGGAGCCACGCCCUGCUCCGUGAUCGGCUUCCGCUUCAACCUCGCCGAUUACUGUAAUGGGUAAACUCUGCAAGGCUUCCGAGCCGAAUAUUCACAUACAAUCUUCUUUUGACACUGAUGAUUCUGGAAGCAAUUUUUGCUCAGUGACUUUGCUGAAGAUGAUCCAUACCCUAUUUCCCAGGAUCUAUCAUGGAUGAUGAUAAUUUUGUUAAAGCUUUGUCUGGUCUCAGUGCGACCCAUAGGGAAAGGCAAGGUCCCUGAAGUCCCAAUCCAUAUGAACAAUUCCGGAGAAGCGUAGACAAAGCAAAAUUGGGGGAUGCUUAGCUGUGCUGCAUCUUCCAUCGUUCCUUCCAGGUUUGUCCCCGGGUCCUUGCUGUAAGUUUUGUCCCAAUUUUUGGUCGUUUCUUUGUCUUGCUCUUCUCUUGCGUGUCCAUAUGCUGCAAGUUUUGCCCCGAUUUCUGGUUGUUUCUCUCAACUUGCCCGCAGGUUCUGGUGUCAGGGUUGUUUUGUUGCGUUGCUUUUCGUGUAGCUGGGUUGUACUUGUACGUAGUCGUUAGGUGAGAACGUUUUAGGCCCUUUUCCCUGCCUUUCAUGUUUCCUGUCUAUUUGAUUUCAGUUGAAGGUCAAAUAAGCAGUCCCUUGAUCAGCACGACAGCUAGACCCUGUUUGCAAACCUGAUACCGGAGUUACUCCAAGAGGAUUAUUUUUUUCUUCAAAACGGAGGCAAAAGAUUUGCCUCAUCAAUUAAUUAAAAAGAAGAAAAAAAUACCUAGUUAAUUAACGAAAAAACAAACGAAAACCGAUACAUAUAGACCACAUAUAGACUACUUGGUAAGGAAGAAACUCCAGGACCCCAGGGUCAACCCGACAAACAUACAUAAGGUGCAACCACCACGACCCUUUGCAUUUCCACGUCGCAAAGAAACCAUAACAAAACCAAGGUUGAAGACAACGGGCACCAUCAAAUCUAUGGAGACGAGCCAAUCAAAGAUGGUGGUCGAAAAGAUUGAGAAUCAUCUAAGAGGAUCUUGAUUCAUUAAACAAAAAGAGUUGCCUGGUUAAUUUGUGAAAACCAGAUGAAAACUUUUACAUCAUGCCUGCAAGACAGGGGUAGGCGACCAACGUGGCUACCCACACAAAGACUCAA